rnacentral:rRNA from 1 species
GAUGAACGCUGGCGGCGUGCUUAACACAUGCAAGUCGAACGGAAAGGCUCCUGCUUGCAGGGGUACUCGAGUGGCGAACGGGUGAGUAACACGUGGGUGAUCUGCCCUGCACUUCGGGAUAAGCCUGGGAAACUGGGUCUAAUACCGGAUAGGACGAUGGUUUGGAUGCCAUUGUGGAAAGUUUUUCGGUGUGGGAUGAGCUCGCGGCCUAUCAGCUUGUUGGUGGGGUAAUGGCCUACCAAGGCGUCGACGGGUAGCCGGCCUGAGAGGGUGUACGGCCACAUUGGGACUGAGAUACGGCCCAGACUCCUACGGGAGGCAGCAGUGGGGAAGAUUGCACAAUGGGCGCAAGCCUGAUGCAGCGACGCCGCGUGGGGGAUGACGGCCUUCGGGUUGUAAACUCCGUUCGCUAGGGACGAAGCGUUUUGUGACGGUACCUGGAGAAGAAGCACCGGCUAACUACGUG